rnacentral:misc_RNA from 1 species
GAAGUAAAAGUCGUAACAAGGUUUCCGUAGGUGAACCUGCGGAAGGAUCAUUAAAAAAUUGGACUCCAUUGGUGAGUUCAUUAAUAAUCCUACCCUUUGUGAAUUUGUUUGUUUGAAUAAUUUUUUUUCCAAAAAAAAUUAUUGAAUGUCUUUCCCUGUUUUGGUGGAGCUUGUAAAGUGAAACCAGGCAGGGGAAUGGCAAACAAUAAUUAUUUUGAAAAAGACCUUUUUUAAAAUUAAACUUUUUGUAUUCAUUUGUCUAAAUUAUUUUUAUAAUAUAAAAACAACUUUUGACAAUGGAUCUCUUGGUUCUCGCAACGAUGAAGAACGCAGCAAAAUGCGAUAAGUAGUGUGAAUUGCAGAAUACGUGAAUCAUCGAAUCUUCGAACGCAUAUUGCACUUUUUUAGUUUACUAAAAAAGUAUGUCUGUUUGAGUAUCAGUAAAAUAUUCUCAUAAAAACAUUGUUUUUUUUAUGGUUAUGAGUGUUUUACAACGAUAACAAGUUGUUUCACUUUAAAUUCUUUGUUAUCAAAAAAAUCAUUAAAAGCUAAUUUUAAAGAUUUUUUAAAAUUGGAUAAAAUUUUCCCGUAAAAAGGAAUAACCUAAACAAUUUUAAAAAAUUAAAAUUGGUUUGAUUUUUUUUGAAACCCAAAGGAAAAAAAAACGAAAUUAACUUGAUCUCAAAUCAGAUAAGAGUACCCGCUGAACUUAGGCAUAUCAAUAAGCGGAGGAAAAGAGACUAACUAGGAUUCCCUCAGUAGCGGCGAGUGAAGCGGGAAGAGCUCGAAUUUGAAAUCUUCAAGGUUUUACCUUGACGAAUUGUAGUUUAAAGAAGUGUUUUCUGUUGGAGUUUUGGUAAAAGUUCUUUGGAAAAGGACAUCAUAGAGGGUGAGAAUCCCGUAUUUGACCAUUAUCUCCAGCUUUGUGAUACACUUUCAAAGAGUCGGAUUGUUUGGGAAUGCAGUCCAAAAUGGGUGGUAAAUUUCAUCUAAAGCUAAAUACUGGCGAGAGACCGAUAGCGAACAAGUACCCGUGAGGAAAGAUGAAAAGAACUUUGAAAAGAGAGUUAAACAGUACGUGAAAUUGUCAAAAGGGAAGCGUUGACACCAGUGUUGUUUUCUCGAAAAUCAAUUAAAAAAGGCGGAUUUUGUGUUGUAUUGACUUUAUCAGCUUUCUGCACUCUUUUCUUGUCUUUUUUAAUGCACUUUUCGUUUAACAAGUCAACA